rnacentral:rRNA from 1 species
UGGUAGGUGGCAAGCGUUAUCCGGAAUUAUUGGGCGUAAAGCGCGCGUAGGCGGUUUUUUAAGUCUGAUGUGAAAGCCCACGGCUCAACCGUGGAGGGUCAUUGGAAACUGGAAAACUUGAGUGCAGAAGAGGAAAGUGGAAUUCCAUGUGUAGCGGUGAAAUGCGCAGAGAUAUGGAGGAACACCAGGUUUGAAUUUUGGCCC